ACUGCCCCGACCUCCCGCCCCAGGUUCCACGCGCUCUGAUGCCCGCCCCGCUCACCCAGAGAAGCCCUGGGCCAGACGUCCACAACCCAAGGGGUUAUGGGGAGGCCUCUGCUCCCUGGACACAGUAGUUCUCAAACUGGACAGUGUCAAUCAGCAUCCUCCGGGAGGUCUGGGGUGGCCCCGGAAAUACAUGUGUCCCACCUAUCCCAGCAGGUAAUGAUGAAACUCCUGCUCUGGUCCGGGCUACCGGUGAACAGCGCCCAGCGGGCCGGGCCCCCAACCUCGCUCCUGAGCCUGAACAUCCCCCCAACCCCACCGUGAGAAUUCAGCGAAGAGUAAAAGCUGGAAAAAGUUGCGUGUCUUAGGCUAAGCAGAACAAAGUGGGGUGACGGCUCCCCGGCUAGGAACAGAGAUGCCCUUAGGGAGCCCUCUGAUGGAAGAGCUCUCCGCUUAAGAAGGUCACCACUCCCUUACACUCAGGAGAUGUUGCUGAGAUGGGUGCAUUAAAGUUUAGGCUUUCCAGAGUUUAUAUUGCUAACAACUUGAAAGGAAAAAAGCUAACUAGAGAACUGACUGGUCUUAUUUGUUUUAGAUUCUGGGCUUUACUAAGACUUCCUACUCUCAGAAUCUCUGGACUAUAAACGCUGGGUGGGGUGGGAGCUGGGAAUGUUAUUCUGGAAAAUUAAUCACAAAUGAAAAGAAAAUCAACUCUAAGACUCCAGUUAGAAGAUUUUUGAAAAUGGCAGAACAUGACUGGCCUUCAUUCAAGUCAGAAUAUUUAAAGCAAUCCUUGCUAAGAAGAACUUGAUUUUGUAUAAGCAGUCCCUUAAAUACAGUUGCUUCUCAAGAAAACCA
rnacentral:lncRNA from 1 species